rnacentral:rRNA from 1 species
CGCAGCUAACGCGUGAAGUAGACCGCCUGGGGAGUACGGUCGCAAGAUUAAAACUCAAAGGAAUUGACGGGGACCCGCACAAGCGGUGGAUGAUGUGGAUUAAUUCGAUGCAACGCGAAAAACCUUACCUACCCUUGACAUGGUCGGAAUCCCGAAGAGAUUUGGGAGUGCUCGAAAGAGAACCGGCGCACAGGUGCUGCAUGGCUGUCGUCAGCUCGUGUCGUGAGAUGUUGGGUUAAGUCCCGCAACGAGCGCAACCCUUGUCAUUAGUUGCUACGAAAGGGCACUCUAAUGAGACUGCCGGUGACAAACCGGAGGAAGGUGGGGAUGACGUCAAGUCCUCAUGGCCCUUAUGGGUAGGGCUUCACACGUCAUACAAUGGUACAUACAGAGGGCCGCCAACCCGCGAGGGGGAGCUAAUCCCAGAAAGUGUAUCGUAGUCCGGAUUGGAGUCUGCAACUCGACUCCAUGAAGUUGGAAUCGCUAGUAAUCGCGGAUCAGCAUGUCGCGGUGAAUACGUUCCCGGGUCUUGUACACACCGCCCGUCACACCAUGGGAGCGGGUUUUACCAGAAGUGG